rnacentral:lncRNA from 1 species
CUCCAACUUAAACUCUAAAACCCUAAAACUCCAAAUAAAUUUUUUUUAACUAAAGAAAUACAUAUUAUAUAAAACAACAUUUGUUACACAUACAUUAAGAUGGCAAAAAAAACAAUAUUUCUUUAAACAUACGAUAUUAUAGAGAAAUACAACAUUUGUUACAUAUAUUACAUCACUCGAAAUUUUUCGUUCUCAUCAAUAUUACAUCACUCUAAAUCGUUUUCGUUCUCA